CCUACGGGGGGCAGCAGUGGGGAAUUUUGGACAAUGGGGGCAACCCUGAUCCAGCCAUGCCGCGUGCGGGAAGAAGGCCUUCGGGUUGUAAACCGCUUUUGUCAGGGAAGAAAUCUUCCGAGCUAAUACCUUGGUAGGAUGACGGUACCUGCAGAAUAAGCACCGGCUAACUACGUGCCAGCAGCCGCGGUAAUACGUAGGGGGCUAGCGUUAAUCGGAAUUACUGGGCGUAAAGCGUGCGGAGGCGGUUGAAAUCCCCGGGCUUAACCUGGGAACUGCACUUGUGACUGGACGGCUGGAGUACGGCAGAGGGGGAUGGAAUUCCGCGUGUAGCAGUGAAAUGCGUAGAGAUGCGGAGGAACACCGAUGGCGAAGGCAGUCCCCUGGGCCUGUACUGACGCUCAUGCACGAAAGCGUGGGGAGCAAACAGGAUUAGAUACCCGGGUAGUC
rnacentral:rRNA from 1 species